GCGACACCAACCUCGCCGUGGCCGCGUCACGACGCACAACCGCGAGCUCUUCCCCGAGCCCCGUCUUCGGCCAGCACCGCGAGCACGGAGCCUCUCCGUGUCCGCGUCUCCGACCUGGCCGGCCGCGCGGACGCCCCGCCGCGCCGAGCCCUGUCCCCGCGCACCGCCGUCGCGACGCCGUGUCCGCGACACGCCUCGUCCUCGGCACCACCCCGCGCACCCGCCGCCGUCAAGCCGCGCCUCUACCUCGACGUCGAGUAGGAUCUCCGCGCCCUCGCCGAGCAGGAGCCCCGACCCCGCGACGCUGCGUCCUCACCGAGUUCUGCUCCGAGCCCUCCUCCACGACACCGUCGUCCGCAGCGCUGGUCGUGACCCAGCAACCCCGUGGUGACCGCGAACCCGAGCGCCAAGCACCACCCCUGCGGCCACGACGUCGAGCAGCGCCCCCACCAGUUCCCCUCGUCAGUGCCGUGCUCGCCUCGUCCUCGCCAAGCCCUUCUCUGUCAUCGGUGAGCUCUCAAGCCAAGGCCAUACCUUUCUUUCCGUUCUGAAGACCAUACCGUGGUUCUUGGCUAACAGUCGGCCUGGGUGCCGUGUUCAACCACUGUCACAGGGAGGCCUCGGACCUGCUGCACCUUCCCAUGGAAGCCGCAACGCUAGAGCUACCAUGAGUGGAACCUCGCAGCACCGCUGAUCGCCUUUGCAACACCUUGCCGAGCACCGGCCAAUGACGAAGNNN
rnacentral:lncRNA from 1 species